UACGGAGGGGGCAAGCGUUAUUCGGAAUUAUUGGGCGUAAAGGGCGCGUAGGCGGCUAGAUGUGUCAAAGGUGAAAUCCCUCGGCUCAACUGAGGAACUGCCUUUGAAACUGUCUGGCUUGAGGCCGGGAGAGGGUAGCGGAAUUCCCAGUGUAGCGGUGAAAUGCGUAGAUAUGUGGAGGAAUACCGAUGGCGAAGGCAGCCCCCUGGGAUGACACUGACGCUGAAGCACGAAAGCGUGGGGAGCAAACAGG
rnacentral:rRNA from 1 species